rnacentral:rRNA from 1 species
UACGUAGGGUGCGAGCGUUGUCCGGAAUUAUUGGGCGUAAAGGGCUCGUAGGCGGUUUGUCGCGUCGGGAGUGAAAACCAGGUGCUUAACACCUGGCUUGCUUUCGAUACGGGCAGACUAGAGGUACUCAGGGGAGAACGGAAUUCCUGGUGUAGCGGUGAAAUGCGCAGAUAUCAGGAGGAACACCGGUGGCGAAGGCGGUUCUCUGGGAAUGACCUGACGCUGAGGAGCGAAAGUGUGGGGAGCGAACAGG